GACGAACGCUGGCGGCGUGCUUAACACAUGCAAGUCGAACGGAAAGGCCCUGCUUUUGUGGGGUGCUCGAGUGGCGAACGGGUGAGUAACACGUGAGUAACCUGCCCUUGACUUUGGGAUAACUUCAGGAAACUGGGGCUAAUACCGGAUAGGAGCUCCUGCUGCAUGGUGGGGGUUGGAAAGUUUCGGCGGUUGGGGAUGGACUCGCGGCUUAUCAGCUUGUUGGUGGGGUAGUGGCUUACCAAGGCUUUGACGGGUAGCCGGCCUGAGAGGGUGACCGGCCACAUUGGGCCUGGGAUACGGCCCAGACUCGUACGGGAGGCAGCAGUGGGGAGUAUUGCACAAUGGGCGGAAGCCUGAUGCAGCAACGCCGCGUGCGGGAUGACGGCCUUCGGGUUGUGAACCGCUUUCGCCUGUGACGAAGCGUGAGUGACGGUAAUGGGUAAAGAAGCACCGGCUAACUACGUG
rnacentral:rRNA from 1 species